UAUAUAUAUGAAUAUUAUUAUAAUCGCUGCACUGUGCUACCCAGCCAUUGAAACCAUGCACCAAACAUUUCAGGUUUGUUUCAAGAAGGAAUAUUUUCAUUUUUUUGUGUGUGUAAUAUAUGAAGGAGAUUAGCUGUAUGUCUAUGUAGUGCAUGGCCAUAUCGACGGAUGCAAUCCAACUAUGUCCUACUCGUUGACUUUUUAGAUAUUUUAGCGGGAUUGUACAUUUCAUGGCGUCUUCUUUGUGAUCUUGUGUGAUAUGAAGAAGAACAAAAAAAAAUAGUCCGAAAGCUUUGACUUUUUUUUUUUUUAACGCUCCUCUCCAUGCUUCACUGUUGUGUUAGCUGCAUGGGCAAAAAUAAAUAAAAUAACAAAACAAACUCAAAUACUAUAUGUAAUAUAUGAAGUGUAAUAGUAUCCGAAAGGAAGAUGAUUGUGUUACAGUUUGCGUUUUAUGCACUCUCUUUGUCAUUUUGGAGAAUGUCUGAUUCUCACCAAGUACAGUGGAACUUCCCAAGUGGAACAAACGUUAUGGAAUUGAAAACGAUGAACAGUGUGUUUCGCUUUGUCAUCACAUUUUUUGUGCGAAGGAUACGAGUGAUGGCAAAGAGGAAAAGUGGAGGAAAGGGACCGUCUGCUCUAUAGCAGUAAAUACACUAAAGUCUUUUCUUCAUUGGAUUAAGUAUUUUUGUUUUUAUCAAUUUUAUUAUACAUUAUACGUUAUGCUCUCAUUGCACUUGUACUUCAAAUUUGAUACUGAAUCAGAUGAAUUCAUGUUACAUUAUAUCCAAUAGGAAAAUGGCUUUGGAAUUACAAAAGCUCGGAAGUCAACCUGCGUGAAUGCCUUUCCCUUCACGGGCUUCCACUAUUAGUCUCCAAGGCAGACUUUACGGUUAAAAAUACAUAUUGGACCUUUCAACAGAACCACUUAGAGUGGAGCUCGAGGCUAAUUUCCAAAUCAUUCCUGUCGAAUCAUUCCGUAAUUGAUUGUAAAUCGGAUGCUUGGGCAAACUAGGCCUGUUUUCCGUGACUGUCGCCCCCAUCCAGCUUUAAUAGUGACUGGUUAAUAUUUGGUAUACAGUAUAUAGGACACCCCACCCCCUUUUUUUAAUGCUACCCCUUCUUGAUACUGUCUCGCUGUUUUGUUUUUUCAAUGCACCACUGUGUCUCGUCCAUCAUGUGGUAGGUCCGUAGUCAUCAUUAUCCACAUCUUGUCCAUUCAACCGAUCCCUCCCUAACAUGAAAAUAUCAUAUCCCAAACAUGGACAUGUGGACUGAAGCUCUUGUUCAGGUGAAUGUUUCAAAAAUAAGUAUGUGUUUUGUGGUGACAUGAACCAUUUGCUUAACAGUUUCUACUGCCACCAUACCAUGAAUAAAAUUUUGAAUGUACCUAUACCAUCGCCCGACUCUUGAUUGCUGAAAGUGAGCGUUAGCGCAGAUGGUUGUUUGUCUGGUGUCGCCCUGCGAUUGGCUGGCAACUGGUUCAGGGUGUCGCCCUGCGUACUGCCCGAAGACGGCUGGGAUCGGCUCCAGCACCCCCCAUGACCCUCGUAAGGAAGAAGGGAAUUGGAAAAUGGAUUGAUGGAUAUUCCUAACACUGAUUCUUUGUCUAUCCUUUUCUUGACUGACUUAGUGUUUCGGUCAUGUGUCAUGGAGUAAAAGACAGGGCAAAACCCUGGACUGGUCUGGACUUUCAGCAAGGUGGGAGAAAGCCGACAUGAGGGUCAAGCCUUAAGAGUUGUGAGGCAGAUGCCGGUCUUCUCCCAUGUUGCAUCAUCGUCUCAUUCAGGUCAUAUUUCACCUUAAGAACUGAAAUGUCAACCGUUCGCAAAAAGCAACUCGGUAAAUAAAACCGAAAAAUUAUUUGCCACUUUAUUCCCCUUAUGGACAAAAAACAGGGUCCAAAAUUGAAGGGAACAUAGACUAAAAUAAAAAUACAAAAAGGUUCUUCUAUAAAAGGAAAAUAUGAAAAUACACGGGCCGUGGCACGGCUAUCAAAAACAUGAAACGUGUCGGUGUACCGUAUUUUUUGGACUACAAGUUACAUUUUUUUCUUAGUUUGGCUGGUCCUGCAACUUAUACUCAGGUGCAUCUUAAUGUAAAUUCUUGUGGACGCUGCAUUCCAAACUAGCAAACGUGCAGGGGAGACGGUCCCUUUAUUUGUUUGACAAAACGGCACACGGUAAAUGCCAUGGCUACUUCUAACUCUUGGCACUUGGCAAAUACUUUUGGUGCAUUGCCGCCUCUUUCGACCAGCAAAUACAAUAUUCAAUGGUUUAUUAGGAUUCUGAAUUUUUUUAAAAAUUCUAAUCUGGCAUUCACAGUUUUACAGCCAAGUCUUGUCUUAAUUUGAGUCACCAACAAUGUAUUUUGAGCUAAAAUUAACAUUUUAUCAUUGGUGCUUUUUCUGUUUUGGUCUUGUUUUUUGUCAAAAGAACCCU